ACCCUUCAAGACGCAUUCUCCUUGCCUUUUCUUAUUCCACGUUAAAUCACAAAAAAAAUCUUCUUUUAUGUUCAUCCCUCAGGACACAAUGUGGUGGUGUAUGAGGAAGAAUUGCACCAUGAACCAAUGCAACAGGCAAUGUCUGCAUUUUUUUUUUUUGAAAUUAAAAACCAAUGUGCAAUGAGUUGUGAAAUGGAAAUCUCUAUAAUGACAUUUAUGCAGUGUACAAUACCUUUUUGUUUUGGUAGGUGUCAGAGAUGGGGAGCUCUGAUUCAUGAUAGAUUAGCUGGCCAUUUAAGUUGUCAGCCUCAUGUUCAUCAGGACCACUAUCAUAGCUAGAUGGCACCUCUUCAUCAUUCCCCCAUCCAAAUUCAUAUCUCAAUGGAGGGGUUCUAUAUCUCACAUUCAUAAAACCUCUAUCUUGGACCUCAAUUAAUCGGAAUUCAGUCCCUCCAAGAUAAAAAAAGUUUAAGCCAUCCACCAUAUUGCAGACCAUAAUAUUGUUGGAGGCUUAAUAGUCCAUUUGUCAGUGCAAAUACAUUGUUGUUAAACUUUGUGAGUCGAACAUUGAAGGAAUUGUGCAGUGGAUCCAUCAACCUUAUUGUUUCAGUAAUAUGUGUUCCAAAAGUAGCAACCCAUAUGUCUGGUAGCUCAGCAUAUUCCUGUAAAUUGUCCAUCCUUAAUCCCAUUAUAGAUUACUUGAUCAUAAGUAUUGAUUAGGAUGUAUUCAUAGGAUAAAUUCAUCUCUACCAUGAUGAACUUAAAUAGAAAGUUUCUAAAAUAUAAUGGCUUUCUGCAAACAAUAUGAGCUUGGGAAAGAAGGAUAGGGUUCUGAACAUGGCACUUACAGUGGCAGUAACGUAUGUCGAUUCAGAACCAUCAAUGAAAAUAAGACCCUUUUCCAUAGCUUGAUCCAUAACAUGCAAACUGCAAAAAAAAAAAGAUCUCAACAAUGGUAAAAAUCCGAUCAAAUACAAUUACAAAAUCCUUAACUCAAGCAGAAACACCGCUAAUGGCAAGUGAUGCUGAAAUUUCAAUCUAAAAACUAAGAAUACUAAUCACCAGUCCUUAAGCAUUAUUAAGAUAUAUAGUUAACCAUAAAUACCCUGUGAAUAAUUCAGUGUGCAGCAACAAUUCUUGGUAUGAUGUUUUUAUCAAUUCUAUGCACUUAAUCAAAAGUAAAGCAUACAUCAAGUGAAAAUAAUCAGCUAAAAGAUUAUUAUAUGUUCUUAAAGAAGUGUCUCCAGAACUGUACCUAACAUAGCAAAAACAGACAUAUAAACCGCAUAUAAGAGGUUAUAUGCCCCUAUUUCGGGUUUCCCUAAGGGCAUACCCCAUCAAAACAAAUAUUGGGAAACUUUAAAAUUGCAAUAAAGAUUUUCAGAGUCAACUUAUGAAUAUUGCAUCCAAAUCACAACUUAAACUCACACAUUUAUACAUUCAGGAUUGUCUUGUCGAUUAUGUAUGCAUAUAAUACCAAGAGGAGGAGAAAAGAAAAAUGAAACAUCAAUAAAUGACAUAGCAUAUCCAAUAGUCAACGGAAACAAACCUCAAUUACAAUAUUUGAAAGAAGCUCAGAACCACUAUCAGGCAC
rnacentral:lncRNA from 1 species